rnacentral:rRNA from 1 species
GAGGAAUAUUGCGCAAUGGGCGAAAGCCUGACGCAGCGACGCCGCGUGGAGGAUGAAGGUUUUCGGAUUGUAAACUCCUGUUAAGUGGGAAGAAACGACAAAAUAUAAUACAUUUUGUAACUGACGGUACCAUUAAAGAAAGCACCGGCUAACUUCGUGCCAGCAGCCGCGGUAAUACGAGGGGUGCAAGCGUUAUUCGGAAUUAUUGGGCGUAAAGGGUGCGUAGGCGGCGUAUUAAGUCAACUGUUAAAACCUCCAGCCUAACUGGAGAUCAGCAGUAGAUACUGGUAUGCUAGAGGAUGGAAGAGAGAAGUGGAAUUCUUGGAGUAGCGGUGGAAUGCGUAGAUCUCAAGAGGAACACCAAUGGCGAAGGCAGCUUCUUGGUCCAUAUCUGACGCUGAUGCACGAAAGCGUGGGGAGCAAAC